rnacentral:lncRNA from 1 species
AUGCAGGAAACAGGACCACUGGAAACUGAGCAACGAUGGGGACUGGCUGGGAUUCUCCACACUCCUGAGUCAUGUGCUCCUUUUUCCUAUGCAGGAAUCAUGCCACUGACUCUGAAGCCAUGGCUUUUACAUUAAGGUCUGCCAUCCCUGCCACAGUCCAUGAAUCCUUUAUCAUCUACAAGGAAGAUGAUUCACUUUGAAAAGCUUUUUCUGAUAGAGACCAGGUUCUCAUAUCAGAAAAUGGCCACAGCAAGCAGUAACUGGCAUCCCAGUAUCACCAUCAUUCAGAUGCUUAAGCUGCCAUACACAUUGAGGUGGGAGAGAGAAAUGAGUCAGCAGCCCGGAUGGAGAUCUCCAAGAAGGAAUAGUGCAAAUUAUUGCUUAAUCUUCAGGACAAUUUUGGAUACAGCAUGCAGAUUUUUCCUUCAGAGCAGGCCUUGAAAAUAAAGAGCCCACAUCACCCUCCAUGCUUUAUUUCCCAUCAAGUGCAUGAAGAAAAUUUUCUGACUAUGGGAUAUUGGUAAGUGAACAGAUCUAUGCAUACAUCAGUAUGCCAUUAGGACUCAAUGUAUCUGUAGCUUAAUGAAAGAAAUAUGUUUUACACAAAUAUGUGACCAUUCUAGUCUCAGAUUCUUGGACAUUUUAUCGGUGUGGGAUAUUUCUUCAAUCCAGUAGUGUUAAUCAUAAUUUAAAAGUAGUUGGUUUAUACUGCCAUUAUAGUUAAGCCACUCUGUCAGCAAGAUGUCUGAAGACUGCCCACUAUAUUUUAAUUUAGGAAGUGUAGGUAAAGAUGGUGAGAAUUUUUGUUCAUUCUAUACAUUUGAAGAUAGAGGUUUCUGUCCCUGCCAGGUUCCACAGCAGCAUUGAACCAAAUAAACACAGAAAGACUUAUAUUAAGUAGAAGACAUGUGGCCUCAGGCUCAAGCUUCUUGUUUCCUAGCUCUGCCUUAAUUGUUAACCCAUUUCUAUUAUUCUGUGCAUUACCACAGCCUGUGGCUUACCCAUAAUAUGUCAUGUUAACUCCUUCAGCUGCAUGGUGUCUGUUAGAAACCUCUCUCUGCCUUCCUCUCUCUCCAGGAUCUCCUGAUAUCUUACCCCUGACUAUGCUUCAUGCCUGGCUGCUGGCCAAUCAUUUUUAAUUGUAUAAAAGAAUGUAUAAAAGAAACAUAUGUACCGAAGGACAUCCCCUAUCAAACUUUCAUCAUAUGUAGUUAAUUGGACAGAAUUUUCUGAGUGCCAGAUGUAUUUAUGUUCUAUGGUAAAACAAUUAAGGAGGAUAUUCAAAGAUAAGUUCUUCUAAUUGCAUUGGCUAGUAUAACCAUGUUUGGAUAUAUUCUGAGACUAUAGGAAAC